rnacentral:rRNA from 1 species
GACGAACGCUGGCGGCGGGCCUAAUACAUGCAAGUAGAACGCUGAAGAGAGGAGUUUGCUCGUCUGGGAGGAUUUGCGAACGGGUUAUUAACGUGUAGGUAACCUGGCUUUUAGCGGGGGGUAACAAUAGGAAACGAUAGCUAAUACGGCAUAACAAUGGAUGACACAUGUAAUUUAUUUGAAAGGGGCAAUUGCUUCACUACAUGAUGUACCUGGGUUGUAUUAGCUAGUAGGUGUGGUAAUGGCUCACCCAGGCGUGGAUACGUAACAGACCUCAGAGGGUGAGAUGCCAAACUGGGACGGGGACACGGCCCAGAAUACUACGGGUGGCAGCCGUCGGGGAUCCUUGGCAAUGGGAGCAACGGUGACCGUGCGACGCCGCGUGAGUGAAGGAGGUAUUCGGAUCGUAAAGCUCUGUUGGACGUCAAGAACGGGUGUGAGAGUCGACAGUUAACAUUGUGACGGUAGCAUAACAGAAAGGGACGGCUAACUACGUG